AUUCCCUGGAGAUCUUGUUAAAAUGCAGAUUCUAGUUCCAUAGGUCUAGGGCGAGACCUGAGAUUCUGCAUGUGUAACAAGCUCCCAGGGAAUGCAUG
rnacentral:pre_miRNA from 1 species